rnacentral:lncRNA from 11 species
CCGGGGCUGCCGCACGUGGCCUCCUCUUCGGGGCUCCCCUCCCCCGCGACGGGGGCGGGUUCGCGCGCUCCCGCCUUCCUGCCUUCCUUCCUUCCUGCCUGCUUUUCCUCCCUCCCUCCCUCCCUCCUGCCUGCCUGCCUUCUUCUCCGGCUCGCUCGCUGCCUCGCUCGCUGGCUCGGGGCUCCAGGAGGCUGGGGCGCAGCCGCGUGCUCUGCCUUACUGCCUGCCUGCCAAGCCGGAGCCAGGUCUUCCUGCUCCUCCUCCUCCUCCUGCUGCUGCUCCUGGGCUGCCCCGGGGAUGCCGCUGGGAGCGAAGGGACCCGGGGCUCCUCCGUCCGCCUGGCCCCGCCGCGGGGGCGACUGAGAGCGAGACUCCACUUUUUUCAAAAUGCCGAGGUAGCUUGUGAGGCAGGUGGGAGAUCUGCAGCCUGUCCGAGGAUCCUGAUGGCUUUCCAGUCCAGCACAGAGUACUUGUAGCUGUAAUAGAUCUUUAGACAUCUACUAGAAGCAGCACAGUUCCUUGAUAUCCCAGGUAAGAGAUCUCAGUGAGAUCUGUGGAAUUAGAUGCACAUUGAAUGUAAGGUAUUUUUUCUUUGGGAUGAGAUUUGGAAUGACCCAAACAAAGGACCAGACUUUC